UAGAAGAAUGGUAUGAUCACAAGGUUGAGGUUUAUUCACUGUACUCCAGUUGAACUCAUCCUGCAGCAUGUUUCCAUAUUGGUCAAGGAAGAUGGCUUUAGGUGUCUGGCUUAAGAAGCUGAGAAGGACUUGCUUGACUUGUCGCCAACCGCUGGCACACAACACCGGCCCAAUUAAUCUCAGGUGAGCCAACUCCGGAGAAUUCUUGGUGCUAACUUGGCCCCAGGCAGGUUUUCUCCCCUUUUGCGUGGGUUCCUGACGCUCUCAGUCCUUAAGACAGCCCAGGGCAGGGUCUUUCUAGGCAACCUGUGUCCACACUCGAAUAUCUCUCAUGUCCUUUGGGUUCAGAUAGCCCAAGGCAGAGUUUUUCUGGACCGCCCACACUGUAAGACUCUCACAUCCCUCGGAGCUUCACGAUCUCAUGGGCAGAACUGUUACUGACCCCACGUGGACUCCACUCGUAAAUCUCUCAAUGACGACUGGAAAAUACGAGUUUUUGGAACCCUAACCGCCAUUUGGUGCCACAGGAUGAGUGACAGCUCACCCUCUGGAUGAUGGCUCAUUUCUUGCCUAAAUUAGUCAUGGGAAACGCUUUUUCUAAUUCCCAAAAGACACCUCUGCAAUGCCUAAUUUCCAAUCUACAUACUCUUAAGAUUAAAAGUACCAUAAAAACUAAACAAUUAACGUUUUACUGCCAGAAGGUUUGGCCAACCUACCCACUUAUUGGCAGCCCUUGGCCCAGAGAGGGGACGUUUGACCCCUGUAUUCUCAAAAAUCUCUACGAUUUCUGUCAGGCUGGUGACAAGUUAACAGAGAUCCCUUAUGUACAGGCUUUCCUUAUUCUGAGAACAUGUCCAUCUCUAAUUAUAUCUUGUACCCCCACCCAGGUAUUUUUAGCUAAUUCUGCUGCACCGCAAACUCUCCCCUCCUGCCCUCAUGAUCUGCUCGAUGAAGUACCCCCUGUUUUUUACUGGCUGCCGCCUACCUACCCCCAAAAUCGUUCCUCAUCGUUAUUUCCCACGUGUGAUCGUCUUCCCCUCCCUCGACCUCUAAUUCUCUCAACAGCUCUAAUCCCUCUGUGUCACAGUUAUCUCCCGCUGUGCAAUCGUCUUCCUCUCCCUCUCCCAGAGCCCAUAACUCUCCCAGAGGCUCUAAUUCCUCUGUUAGCGCUUCCUCACAGUCUCCAACCUCUUACUCUUCUGAAAAUUCUCUGUCCCCUACAGCAUUCUCACCUCCAGCCCACCAUACUAGGUCUCAGUCACUCUUUCCUUCCGGCAAGCCACAACAAUCAUGAUUGGAGCUGGGCGUGCUGAUCCAACCAUGGAAACCCAGAUCUCAGAGACUUAGGCAGGAGGAAUUUGCUGAGUUUUAGGCCAGCAUGGACUCCAUAGUGACUGCCAGGCCAGCCUGAACUGCAUAGCCAGAGCCUCUCUCAAAGAAAGAGCACCAUUUGCUAGAGCUUGAGGGCGGUACGGGCAUGGGUAGUGGGCAGGCAUGUGGAGAGCCAUUAUUCUGAGUGUCCUGCCCUCCUCCAGCUUGUCUGCAUCUCCUUCAAUCUCCCCGCAUGCACACCAAGCCCUGCAUGAGGCUCUGGUUGCCUUAGUACCAUACAGGAUUACCAUUUCUUGCCUUGAUUUCUCACCACACAGGACAAGAGGAGAUGCAGACAUCCCACCCAGCAUGGACUAUGUCCCUGUCCUUGUGCCUCCACAAAGCAGCCUUUCUGGAUGCUUCAGUGAGAGGCAUAGGCAGUGUCAUAAGAUAGCGGCUAAAGUCAGGCAGGUUGGUGCUCCCCUGGUGCUCUGGGAGGCUGCGGCAGGAGGAUCUAACUUCCAUGCACCCUGCUUAGGCGAGCCCUUUCAUGAGAACUUGUCUCAAAAGAGAAACCAAUGGAAAACAGUUUGGGGAUGAAGCACAGCACAGUGCACAGAGGCACUGGCUUCACUCCUCAGCACUGCAACCGAGCAAGCAAGUAAGCAAGGAAAUGAAUUGAUCACAACGAAAGAAAGAAAACAAAGAGAGGACAAAGAAAGGCAAAUGGAAUGCAAGCAAGCAGGUGUGAAAUGGCUCUGCACAGGCACUCUGCUGAAGAGUUCCACACUGCACCACUGCGGAAAGGAGAAAGGAAGGGUCAGGCAUGGUGGUGCUCACCCAACGCACAAAAGCAAAGCCAAAAACCACAUGGAGGAGCUGAGCCUUGAGGAUCUGGGCUGUUUGGUGCCUCUCAGUUCUGGUCACCCACGUGCAGAGGAAUUCUUAUGGUCUGAGGGCCAGUUGGGUUUCCAGGAGCUGAACAAUCUUGCUUGGAGGUGCAUACUUGGUCCUGAUCCUUGCUGGGGGUGUGUGUGUGUGUGUGUGUGUGUGUGUGUGUGUGUGUGUGUAGGGGUGCUCACACUUGGGGUUGAGCUGUUCAAGGGCUGGCCUAGGAGCCUUUGCUUUUGCUAGAAUCCAAGGGUGUUUAGGGCAAAGACUCAGGGUUGAAGGCGUGGGCCCAAGGGAAUGGGAAUGGGAAGUUGUGAAAGCUGACAGUCAGCUGUCCCUGCAGACCCUGAAAAUGAUGCCAGUUCCUUUGGGUCUUGAGGGGGAAUGAGAUGGGCUGGGCAUUUUAGGACUCAGAGACCUGGGAGGACAGAAGCUACCUGACGUGCCUUCAAGCAGAGCCUAGCAGGGAUCGGACUCACACUCAUUUUGGGUUUUGUAGUCCUGGGGACUGAACGCAGGCUUCAAGACAACCUGCAUCCUCAUCAUGUUAUUUUAUUUUAUUGAUUUCUUCAUGUUUUGAGACAGAGCUUUGCUAUGCACUUCAGCUGGCCAUGAAGUCACUGAGCAUGGAAAGCAGGCUGGCUGGUAUGUCUCAGGGAUGCUCCUGCCUCAGGCUUCCAAGUGCUGGGACUGCAGGCUCUGGCUGCCACAUCCAACUACUGCCUUGCCAUCUGGACCCUCCUUCUGGAAACAGCAUUGCAGGAGAGGAGGAAGAGGCAGAGGCAGGGGCAUGAGGCACAGGGCUAAAGCAGGGGAGAAGAGAAGAAGGCCAGGACUGGAGGCUGAGCAGCUGAGGUAGGGGGCUCCCCCUAGCUCAGCACCGCCCCCUGGAUUUCUAGUCGCGUGUGCACACAUGCGCGCAUGCGCACGUGUAAGGCUCUGCUACUUGCCCUUGUUCUGAGACUGGCUUUCCCAAAAUGGGCCUGGGAGGAUCCUGUUGUGAUGGCACACACUGCUACUCAAGGCACUCUGGGAGGCUGAAGCAGGAGGAUCCCCAAUUCAUGCCUAGGCUGGGCAAUGUAGCAAAUGAGGAGGAACUGGCCUCCAAAUACAGUUUUUGCUUUGCCCCACCUCUGUGUCUGUUCGCCUGUCUGUGGGAGACAGUGUUGUGCUUUGUAGUUCAGGCUCUGCCUGAAGGUCUUCAGGAGCCCUGGCUGCCCUGCAACUCUGUUAUCCUGUGCCCUCAGUGCUGGGGUUAAAGGCGUGAGCCACCACGCCCGGUAGGGCCAACCUUUCAAAAGGAGCUGAAGCAGUGGUGGUGUGGGCCAGCCAGCAGAAGGCUGAAGCAGGAGGAGCUGGAGCUGCAGAGCUGCCGAGUUACCAAGCUGCCAAGCUGCAGAGCUAGAGAGCUGCUGAGCCGUCCAGCUGUGGGCCCUCCUGGGAGGUUCCCGGUGCUAGAGCAGACAGAAAUAGAGCACCCAAACCACCAGUCCUCAGAGAAGCAGCCGAGUUUGUGAUCUCCCAAAGCUAUGAAGGAAUCCUUAGGAAGAAGACACAGGUGAAGAGUGAGAAAACGCUUCCAAGAGAGAGAGACAGACAGAGAGAGAGACAGAGAGAUCAAGUCCUGAGAGAAGAGAGGGAACCUAAGAGUGGGUCGCCCAAGAGCCUCCUUCUCCAAGGAUAAUUCCUAGUGCAAAGCUAAGAGGUGAGUAGAGGCUGGUGAGAUGGGUGCCAGAGGGUCUGCUCUGGGCUCAGGGAGAUGGCAGGGAGAGGCACUGGGGGAGGAGGGAUGGGAAGGGGAGGCAGAUUCUCAGGGAGAGAAGCAGCAGCAGCACCAUUGGGUGCCUUGUUGUCUGGGCCCUCAAGUGCCCUGAGGGCCGAGCCUGUCUGACCUGCUGCCCUCCCUCCUCUGGGUCUGUGUCUCCCCAGCUCAGCCAUGGCGAGCAGCGCUGGCCUGGGCGAUUGCGGAUGCGCUUGGUGCACGUGGCUGGAGCACUUCUGCAACCCAGUGGUCUUCUGUGUCAUUGUGGAUCCUGAGGAGAUGUUGUUUGGUGCAAGGCCACUCCCAUUUUCAAGUGCUCUAAUAUUCUAGAGGCUCUGAAGAUGGGCAUCUGUUGUGCCAGGGAUGGGAUAGUAGCUCUGUGUAAGGGAGUAUUGGUUUUGUGGUGGGGCCAGAGGGGUGAGGAGGCCCCUGCUCCCUUGUGGUUGUUGAGGGCCACUUAGUAAGCACACAUGUGAACAGCAGGGGCUGUGAAGAUGCAAACUGGCUACAGUCAACUGCUGUUUUUUUUUUUUUUUUGAGUCAGGAUCUUUCUAUGGAACCCAGCCUGGCCUUGAACUCAGAGCAAUCUUCCUCCCUCAAGUUAGUGUGACUGCUGAGAAUACAGAUGUGCACCAGUGCCUCUGGAUUAAGUCACAUGUUUCUCUUUCUUUUCAUUCAUUUCGUUUUUGAGAUGAGGUCUCCCUAUGCAGUUUAAAAUGGUCUUGGACUCAUAGUGAUCCUCCUGCCUCAGCCUCCUGAGGGCUGGGAUUAGAGAUUUGAACCUGCCUGCCGGGCUCUAUUUAUUCAUUUAGUGAUGCAUAGGUGAAAGCCAGGGCCUCACUCGUGCUACACGAAUGUUCUACCACUAAACUGCUCGAGCAGUGCUCCCAAUCUUGCAGAAUAGUUGUAAGAUUCUGCCCACCCAGAACCUCAAUAAAAUAAGUCACCAGUUGCUGCCAGUUUUUUACUGUUUUGUUUGGUGAACAGUGGAUUUGAUCCAGAGCAUUUGCACUGAGCUAUAUCCCCAGCCAUUUAUUAAUUUUUAUUUUGAGACAAGAUCUCACUAACUUGCAAAGUAGUCCAGGUUUGGCUCCAACUUCUUGAUAGGUUUUUCCGUGGUGCUGUAGAAAAGCAAGAGCAAAGAAAGCACAAAAGGAAAAGGCCUUUAUUGUGGGCAAGGGACAGCUGCAGGACAGUGCAUGGUCCCCAAGGGGGCAGAUAAGAAGCUGAAAGCUUUUAUUCAGUUUGACAGGCAAUGGAGUUUGAAGGGGCAGGCAACGUGUAGUUUUCACAGAGAAUUGUGGGAGUGUUAGCACACAUGAAAAACGUGGGGAGUUCAGUUUUCUAGUUUGAAAGAAGAAUCCUGAAGUCAGUGUUGGAGGGAGCUGCUGUCCAGUACCAUGGUGGGCAGGCGCCAUGCUGAGGUUGGCAGUGCUUCACAUGGGCAGGAAUUCCUUUUGAUCUUCCUGCUUCAGCUUCCCUGAACCCCAGGAUAUUAAUUGGGUGCCACCAAACCUGAUUUGGUGCCAGCUUUCAGUUCUAGGUUUGGAGAAGUCCCAAAAGCCAAAAGAAACAAAAAUGCAAACAUUUGAAUUUCCUUGGGCUUGUUUUCUUUUCAGAAAGAAAGUUAUCUACAUUCAGAUAUUUUAAAGUAUAUCACUAUCACACAUGGCUUCAUUAAUGACAUUCACUGCCACAGCCCUCGCAGUUCUAGAAGCUCCGAGGGUGGCGCUGCUGAGAGGAUCUAGAAAAAGGGGCAAGAGUCAGUAUGCAGAUAACUGAGGCCACAGCGAGCCCUCACUCCUAAUGGAAAGGAAGGAAGGAAGGGAGGGAGGGAGGGAAGGAAGGAAGGAAGGAAGAAGGGAGAGAGGAAGAAAGGAAAAAAGGAGUGCGGUCGGAGAGUCCCUCGCAUGUGCGGACAAUAAAACCCCUUGAUUUUUCAUGAGAGCUGGUUCCUUGGGGUCUUCUUCACGACAGUGACCUUACAUUUGGAGGCCCCAGCGAGAUCCGUCCCCCCCUCGCCGACGGAGGCCCCAAGAGCCACGACGUGUCUCUUGGGGUAAGUAUGGCUGUUCUGUUUAGUUUCAUUUUCCAAUACAUCAUUUGCCUUGACUGCCCCGGAUUGAUUUGGUCUAAAACUUGCAGUCCAAAAACAGGGCAGUUUCUUUGGGGGACUCCCCAGAGGGUUUUCUUGGGAGUCCAUUUGUCCCUCGGACUCCCAGUUUGUCAGGAGGGGUCUCUCGUUCCCCCCCAUUGGUGGUAGAUUCACUGAUCCUGUGUGAGUGUGACCAGCCAAAGUGUGUGGUGUAUGUCGUAUUACCUAAUCGUGUCCUUUUGUUGGUGUCUUUUGUUUGUCCCGUCAUGGGACAAAGUGUCUCAACCCCUCUCUAAUUGUUCUCCUUUUGGUUACCCCAAAUCUAACAGAACAUUCUCUCCUAGGAACCCCUUCUAUGAGCCCAAAAUGGACUAAGGGAUUUAGAUACUUAUGUUCAGAGUUUUUGCACUUUAGAAUUGUUUGCCUGUUUAAAUUUGUUGCUAACUUAGGGGCUUGUUGCCCACUUCUGUUGCAGGAUCCAUAUGGCUUAUUAGAUUCAAAGUUCAUAAUAAGAAUUAUUUCCUUUAGCUCACCAAACGAUGCACAAAGCACCCUUUGUUUGUGUCUUUAAUGUUGUGGCGCCUUGUUCAAUAUGUAAGUCUUCAAUUGAUGGUUGCAACCUUGGCAUGCCUUUUAAAAGGAGUAUUUUUCUUUCUGGUUAAAAUGUAAACAUAUGUGCACAUAUACAUGUGUAUUUAUGGUUUUUAAGAAUCAUAUCAACUUUACUAAGUAAAAACCAGGUCGUACUAUAUUUGAGCCAGUUAAAAGGUUACAGUUUUGUUUUUAAAAAUACAGCAUUUUUAUGUGGUAAAAAGACAUAAAAUAAUUAAGUAUGUUUUAGACUACUAAAAGGUGACUUCAAGGGUUUUGUUGAGAGUUUUGUUGUUGUCUGAGAAGCGAGAGGAAAGGUAAUUGACUGGUAAGAAUAAAAAAGAGGGACAAAGAAAGUGGUUUUUUUCUUCAAGUAAAAAUGUCUGGCUGUGCCAGAAUGUAAAAAAGAUAAAAGCUUAACUUGGGGGGUAUAUUGUAAGUUGUAGAAGGCUCAAGAGGAUGUGAAUUUUAUUUGUCUUGGUUUAUAGUACUGCAAAUAACAGGUUUGACAAGAAGUAAAUGUGUUCAGAAUUUGACAGUAUUAGAUCAGUUUUGGUAAAAGUAUUCAUAAGAUUGUACUUUGCUGCAAAAUGUUCCCAUUAAAAUGAGAUUAUAGGUGAUACUAGAGAUAAGAUACAAGUUCUUGCAUGUGCUGUAAACAUCUGGGAAAUUAUACAGCACAAUUUUGUUACCUAUGAAAAAGCUCUUUUUUGUUAAGGAUAUAAUUUCAGUAAAAUGAUGGCCUGCCACGUGACACCCUUGGACAAAAAGCAGUAUGCCAUCCAAAUGAAGCUGGCUCUCUGAUCUGGAAUGCCAAAACCAUGUUCUCCUUUUGUCCCACUCUGAUUGAACAUCCAGAGGUAAGGAGGUUUCCUCAGCAUCGCCAGUUGUCCUCUUUGCAACUCAGUCGGCUCCACAUGUUAGACAAAAAUUCCAAAGGUUUGAGAGGUUUGAGGGAAUGCCCCUCAGCCAGUUAAUAGAGAUAACACAAAAGGUCUUUGAAAACUAGAAAAUUUACAAGAAGCUACCAACAAAAAGAUAACCAAGGUGUUAGAAUUGCUCUAUGAGAAAAAUUUUUAAAAAAACAGAUGAGAGUUUUGGGGGCAUUUAUAUGUUGUAGGCUAAAUUUUACUGAAAAGCUCACCUCUAUAUGACUCCUGUAAGGGAGAGACUCAAAACUCACUGAACUGGACUGAUGAAUGUGAACAGGCCUUCCAGCAGCUCAAGCGGGCCUUGAUAGAGGCUCCAGCCCUGGGACUCCCUGAUGUUACCAAGCCGUUCACCUUGUUCAUAGAUAAACUCAGGGGCAUUGCCAAAGGAGUCCUAACUCAGGACAUUGGCCCUUGGAAGAGGCCUAUAGCCUACCUCUCCAAAAGACCUGAUCCAGUGACAGGAGUAUGGCCCCCUUGCCUAAGAAUACUAGCUACUGUGACAAUGUUACUUAAGGAGGCGAAGAAACUCACUUUGGGCAAGUGAUUUCUGUGGUAACCUCUCACAGUUUAGAGACUCUUAUCAAAACCCCUCCUAAAAAAAAAAAAGAGGCUUUUGAAUGCCAGAAUUCUACACUGUCAAGCCCUGCUUCUAGACCCAGAGUCAGUGAUAGUCAAGACUUCUUCAGCUUUAAACCCAGCCACCCUUAUGCCUGAUGAUGACCUGGAGGAACAAAGGACACCUCUCCAUGAGUGUGCUGACAUCCACAAACUGCAGCAGAAUCUACGGGCUGAUCUUACCGACCAGCUUUUGGGAAAUGCCGACAACUAUUUCAUCGAUGGAAGCAGCUUCAUCCAGAAUGGCAAACGAGUGGCUGGGGCAGCAGUGACCACCAAAAAGGAGGUACUCUGGGUUAAGCGGGUAUAGCCUGGCACCUCUGCCCAAAAGGCGAUCUUGUUGCUUUGACUGAGAGGCUAAAACUAGCCAUGGGAAGGAGCGUAAACAUUUUAACUGACAGUAGAUAUGCUUUUGCUACUGUAUAUGUACAUGGAGCCAUCUAUCAGAGCAAGGUCUCUUAACCUCAGCUGGGACUAAGAUUAAAAAUGCUCCACAGAUUCUAGACUUGCUGGCAGAUGUCUGGCUGCCUCAACGAGUUGCUAUUAUUCAUUACAAGGCUCACCAGACAGGAGAUGACACUGUCACCUUAGGGAACAGUUUGGCAGAUCAAGCCGCUUGAAAAAUAGCAACCACAUCAGAGGGGCCAACCAAGAAAGUAACUGCCCUGAUGCUAGUCCCUCCGACCCUGUCAGAACCAGUCUACACAAAAAAGACCUACAGUUAACAUCUCAACUUGGAGUAAAGUCCCCCAUCCCCGGGGGCUGAUACCAGUUACCUGAUAAACAAGUACUGUUACUGGAGGCACUAGGGUGGGAGCUGUUACACCGGGCUUGCCAGACUACUCAUUUAGAGAAAACUAAACUUGUGGAAUUGUUCAGAACUUGUUUUUUUAUUCCAAAACUCUACAAACUGACCCCCUCUUUGAGCUCCAGAUGCCCACAGUGAUUGUUAGUCAACUCAGCCAAGAGCUCUCUGCUGGAGACCACCCAACAUUAAAAAUUUGUUUCAGGAGAACAUUAAAAAGUAGACUUCAUGGCAUGGUAAAGCCUGAUUUACAGGGGUACCGCUAUCUCUUGGUAUUAAUAAACACUUUUACUGGCUGGGUAGAGGCUUUCCCUACUAAGUCUGAGUCAGCCUUAGUGGUAGUUAAAAAGCUAUUGCAUGAGAUCAUACCUUGAUUUGGCCUCCCACUAUCAAUGGGGUCUGAUAAUGGCCUGGCUUUCAUAGCCCAAGUCACCCAAAAGUUAGCCCAGGCAUUAAAAAUUAAUUAAAACUCCACUGUGCCUAUCGGCCACAAAGCUCAGGGCAAGUAGAACGUAUAAACCAAAGUCUCAAGGACAUUUUAGCUAAGCUGUUUUCAAAAACUGGUGAUAAUUGGGUGAGCCUUUUUCCCUUUGCACUAAGAGCUAGAUGUACCCCAUAUGUUUCUGGAAUCUCCCCCAUUGAAGCCAUGAUUGGGAGGCCCCUGACAUUGGUUCCAAGAUUGCCAGAAAAUAAACUAGCUAAAAUAACUAAUCAAGAUCUCAUUAAGUCCCGGCAGACUCUCCAACCCGUCUUGACUUCAAUCCACCAGCUGUUUAGACAAAAACACCCGGAUAUGCCUUCAGAGAUACCUCUCAAGGUGCCGAUCAAGCCAGGGACUCCAGUCUUGGUGCAAUGUCACCACCGUGACUCCCUUGAACCCCGCUGGGAAGGACCUUUCACCGUGGUGCUCAGUACCCCCACUGCCAUCAAGGUAGCAGGAAAAACUGUGUGGAUUCCCUACACUCACGAAAAGCCACUGGAAACAGCGGACAAUGACGGACAUACUCAGUGGACUACACAGCAGACUGGUAACCCCUUAAAGUUAAAAUUGACUAAGGCAUAGUUAGAUUAUACUGAUCAUGAACUGUUUUAGCUUGCUUGCUUUGAUUUUAAUAACAUUGAUGCUGACCUUGCACAGUGGCUUUGGUCCCCCUGUAAGCAAAGAACAAUUGUUAAGAUCUUUAUGUGGGAGCUCCUGUGAUUGUGGAGGGGGCUAUAUUACUAAAGGUAAAGACACCAACUGGGGGGAAUUAUAUAUACAAUAGGAAACAAGGAUCAAGAUCCUUCCCACACAAAUGAUAAAUUGUAUACAUACAGUCUUUGGACAGAUUGUGGGGACAAGUUAACAUUCCUUGUUGCUAUACCCUCAGUUACAGGGGGUUUGACUAAAAGGUGGAUGUAAAUGAUAAAGCCCCAUGUGAUACCUAACAAAGGCAGCCAGUGAGGGCCAUGCCCUCAGAAUUGUUCUUUGUAUUCAAAAAUGCAUUCCUCCUGCUAUGACACUGUACAAGAAUGUAUAGGCAUAGAUAACAAAACUUACUUCACUGCUGAGCUUAUGAGGACAAGGGCUGAAAGAAUUAAAGGUGAUUGGUCGACAAAUCUGACAGUGAUAGGAAGUUCAAAGUAUGCCCAAGCCUCAUGUCUCAACAUGGUUGAUAAAUCAGUGUGCUAGAGCAGGGUGGCCCCUAUACAUGUGUCUGAUAGGGGCGGGCCACAAGAUAAGAUCAAAAAACUCUGGUGGUUGAGGAAUGAGUCAAGCUGCUAAUAAAAAUAAGCUGCCGAAAUCACGGGGAGUUGGUCUGGAUGCUCAAACUUAUGAUAUUCUAGAGGCCACUCAUAGAGCCUUAAAUGCUUUCAACCCAACUUUGGCUGAAGAAUUGCUGGUUAUGCAUGGCACAGGGCUCCCCCAUCCCCCUUGACAUCCCCAGAAAUGUUUCUCUGGCUACACUAGAGAAACAAGAUUACUUAAAUUGUAGUGCUGGUCCCCCCUUUAGAGUACAACCAGUAGGCUUCAAGGACUCUCUCUGUCUCCAAGGAGGUUUUCAUAAUGAUACCUCCAACAUUGACGUGGAGUUCGUUACAUUUACUGAUUGUAGUUCCAUAGUUAACCAGACUACCUCCUUUAUCCUGCCAAAAGACAAGUAUUUAUUUGUGGAGGAAAUAUGGCCUAUACCUUCCUCCCAACUAACUGGACAGGGAUAUGUGUAGCAACUAUCCUGUUGCCUGAUAUAGAGAUCCUACCCGGGGAUGAGCCUCUCCCCAUUCCUAGUUUAGAUUACAUCACAGGCCACUCAAAGAGGGCAAUUCAAUUUAUUCCUUAUUGAUAGGCUUAGAGAUAUCAGGAGCCUUAGGUAUGGGGGCAAUAGGAGUAGGGGUUUCUGUCCAACCUUCCAACCAGAUUGUUAGUGAUAUACAGACAUUAUCUAGUACCAUUCAGGUCAUUCAAGACCAAAUAGACUUGUUGGCUAAAGUAGUUCUCCAAAACAGGAGGGGACUAGACCUACUCCUCCUAAAGGAGGGCGGCCUAUGUGCCGCUCUAAAAGAAGAGUGCUGUUUUUAUGUUGACCAUUCAGGCAUAGUAAAAGACGCCAUGUUCAAACUCAGAGAAAAUAUCAAAACUAGAGAAAAAGAAUACUCUUCGGAGACAUCCUUCCCUUCCCUAUGGCAAGGGCUAGCUCUUUAUGUGGUCCCCCUCCUCGGCCCUUUAGCUGCUUUGCUCCUACUCCUUACCAUUGGCCCUUGCGUUCUAAACAAGAUCACACAUCUGGCGCGAUCACAGGUCUCCCAGGUAAAGAUGAUGGUCUUGAGAUACCAAUAUGACCCAAUACCUCCUAAUAAUCUCUAGGAUUAGAGAUCCUCACAAGAAAAGGGGGGAAUGAAGAGUUAAAACAUUCAGGAAAUCCCUCUUGCCUUGUCACAUGGUCAGAACAACCAGAUGUUCUGGCCUGAUAGGGAAGUUGUGGUCCAGCGUCCCCAAAAAUAAGAGCACUGUGAACUAUCGACCCUUCCAGACAGGACAUGAGUUUUCAAAACACCAAUGCCAUCUGCUUCUGUAACCAAUGCUUGCUUUGCGGUUUUCGGCUAUGUAUACUCUGCACUCCCUUACCUGGGCCCUCUCCCCUCUCCCCACCGGAGUGGGGUCGGAGAGUCCCUAGCAUGCGUGGACAAUAAAACACCUUGAUUUUUCAUGAGAGCUGGUUCCUUGGGGUCUUCUUCGUGACGGUGAUCUGACACUCUGACUUGGGGAUGAAAAUGUGCAAUGUAUGUACCAUUGAUGCCCCUGAUUAAGUAUUUUGAAAGUUUGUCUUGGUUUAUCCUUCUUCCUUUUUGCUUGAAAUAAAAUGGAUUUGAAAAAAAAUAAAUAAAAGGACUAGGGAAUACAGAGCUCAUUGGUACUGCACCUACCUAAAAUGCACUAGGCCGUGGGAUAAAAUCCUACACCAAAUAACAAGCAAAUAAACUCUAGCUACUUAGAAAAAUAAAAUAAAACAGUGCUCUGAACAGAAUCCUCUGUGGUCAUCUCAACAGGUGCACAACUGCUGAGACACAACCUAAUCCAGGUCCACAAAAGAAAAGUAUGGCAAUUUACAGUAGAAUAAGGAUUUCUAUAAAGAGCUGUUGUUUUUGAGAACCUACCCUUGUCAUACUUAAUAUCUGAUAAAAUCAACAACAUACCUCGCUGCUCUCUUUGACCCCCGUUAAGCCUAUUUCUCUCUCUCGCUUCCCUUAAGCUUGUUUCUCUCUUUGGCUUAUCUGGUCUAUUUCUCUUUCUGUGCACACAGCUAGAAGUCAUCUCUUAUCUAUUAUCUUAUGUGUUUACUUGUUCCUGGGUCCCUGUUGAGGCACUAUUUUCUUGCAGCUCUCAAUGUUUCUAGGGUGAGGACUGUAAGAGGAUCUGAAAAAAGGACAAAAGUCAGUAUACAGAAAAUUGAGGCCAUGUGGAGCCCUCUCUCCUGAUGGGAAGGAAGAAAAUGAAGGAAGGAAGAAAGGAAGGAGAGGAAGAAAGAAGAGGACUGAGAGGAGGAGCAAGAGAGCUCCAGUGGCUGCAGCACAUUCAGUUCUAUGCUGGGCAGAUUGAGUGUCGCGUGGAACCUCUACACCUAAGAGCUUAUCCACGUGGCUCAUCUCAGGCACCAGUGUUCUUACAGCAGCUUAUCCAUGUGAUUUGCCUCCAGUGUUCUGUUCUUGAGACCAGCCUUGCUCCAGCCCUGAUCCAUGUUCAGCUUCGGCCAUUCCACAUAAUUCACUGGCACACAUAUGACUAAAGUAAAUGGCAAGGAUUGCCAUGACCAAUGUGACUUCUGAGGUCCUUAGGGUUAAGGACAGUGAGAGGAUGAGAAAAACAAAGAAGACACAAACCUGGAGUCAGGUGGAGCCCCACUCUCCACAUGGGAGGUAAGGUACUGGCUCCUCCCUGCAGGGGUGUUUAUAUAAACCUUUUGGCAACUUCAUGACAUCCCAUUGUCCUAGCAACCCACUGUUGAGACUUGGGGCUAGGUAUUCUCUGGGCUGAAGCAGCUUCUUCACGUGGUUUACCCCAGGUGCUCUUUGUUCUUAGAAUGGUCAUAUUCCAACCUUGCAAAUGUGGUCAAUCUCCAUCUUCAAUGGCACCAAACAGAGUGUGUCUGAAGCUAAAAAGCAAAAAGGCUCAGUGGGCAGAAGAAAUCGACAGUAUCAGAAACCCUAGCAGUGUUGUCUGAGAUGCUGACUGCUAAGGAGCAGGCAGAUUUCCCAGGGAAUGGAGACUACCCACCCUUUGUCACAAAAUAUCUAACCAUACGUUUCCUGCAGGUAAUCUGUAUUCUACAAAGUAAAACAAACAAAUACUAGGCAGGCAAAAAAAUAUUGUCAAUUAUCACAGCAGUUGCUAAACAAUAUCUAGAGUGUGUGAGUCAGACGUGGCUUUCCACGUAGAGGCCCCAAAUCAGCAGCAUCCGAGUUACCCAACAACCUGUAAGAAUGUGGGUAACAUCACUCAAAAAGGACAAAACGUGAUGUGUAGGAGGCUAUAAAUAUUCCACUCUUUGUAUGUAGAAAAGCACAAUAUAUAAGCCACUAUACUGGACAUUUCUAUUAAAACUCCAUGGGAAGGACAGGGGGACAGGGAAAUAAUUUUUCUAAAGUGUCCUAGGGGAAAGGGAAGUGACAAUCUUGAAAAAGGACAAUCCAAGAAACAGGGGGAAAGCACAAGUGAUUCCCAGUCAGGCAUGAGGGUGGACACCUGUGAUCCCAGUACUUGGUAAGGCUGAGAGGCAGGAUGAUCAUUGCAAUUUCAAGACCAGCAGGGCCUACAAACUGAGCUCAAGGCCAGCCUGAAUUGCAUAGCAAGACCAUGUUUCAAAACAAAACGAAACAACAAAAAAGAAGCAAAUUCUAAGUGCAAAGACUCACAUCCACCCAGCUACUGAGGUGUUGACCCUGGCCACUGACACCCACACACCUCCAGCAGGGUACUGCUCAGGGACUAAAACUUGGGUGUGUAGAAUUUAGCUUGUGAGGUGGAUAAGUCUUCCAUUAUGACCAAGGGGAGCCCACAAAGGCCCUGUGUGGUGCCCAUCAUGGAGUCCGUGGCUCCUACAUUGACCUGGAUGGGCUGUGUCUGGCUAGAAGGAGCAAGGACACCAGAAUGGCCCAGCCACGGCUGGGGAUUUAGCUCAGUGGCAUAAAUGCCUGCCUUGCAAGUGUGCAGUCGUGAGUUCGAUCCCUGGUACUGAUUUAAAAAACAAGAUUGUGUUUUAAAAAAAGAAUGUCCCCGCCAACAUGCUGGGCAGAAAGCCAAAAAUUAUGUAGAUCACUUACGUGGGAACUUCUUGUCCUGGAGCCGCUGCACAGCCCGGCUCAGCUUAUUCUUGAGGUCCACGGUGGCCUGGCAGAUGCCCUUCAUCAGCUCGUCCCCCACCCUGGGAAUGUAGACUGGCUUUGUGGAAAUUUCUCGCAGUUUGGAUGCUUUCUGGAACAGGCAGGGAGUUAAGGGUCUCACUACAUAGUCCAGGCUGGCUUCGGACUCUUGGUGAUCCUGCCUUCUUGCCUUCCUGAGUGCUGGGAUCACGGGUAUGACUAACACACCCCGUAGAAGCAACACUGCUUGAAAAACAAACUUCAAAACUGAGCAGGACAUCUAUCAACAGGAGACCGGAACAGAGAUGGCACAGGGAGGCAGCAAGAGGAUGCAACAACGCACAGAAUGGACGCAUUCAGGAGAGGCUGCUUCAGGAGGAGAGGAGGGGGAUGGGAUGGGGGCGCAGUGCCAGAACUUUCCAUGCCCUUUUCCCUGUGGUACUAGGGAUUGCACUGGGCUGCGGACAGCCCCAGACCUCUUCUUACUGUUUUCGUGGUCUUUGUUUCUUUUACUUUUGUUUUUUUGAGAUUAUCUCACUACAUAGCCCAGCCUGGCCUUGGACUUGCGGAGAUCCUUCUGUCUCAGUCUCCCAGGUACUGGAUUAUAGGAAUGCACCAUCACACCCAGCUGAGACACUUUAUUUUUUAAACUAUAAGCUGUUUCUAAGUAAUUACUUUAUUUUAUUAGGGGACGGGAGUUGGGUUUUUCAGACAGGGUCUCAAUAUGUAGUUUAAGCUGGCCUUGAACUCCCUAAGGAUCCCAGGCUGGUUUACACAGCAGAUUCUUAUGCUUCAGCCCCACCUGGAUUCAGAACAUGUCAAGAUUGCAUCUCCCAAAUCCUCUGUGACUAGGUUCUGGGGUCUGACUAAGCAAAUUCCAAUGUUGAGGCACAGCCAGGAGUGACAGAUGCAACACUGUCACUUGUGCAAAAGGAAACUGCUAGUCAGGAGUGGUGUAUGCUAUACUCUCAGCCUUCUGGGAGGCUGAGCAGGAAGAUCAGGAGUUCUAGACCAGCCUGGGCAAUUCAACAACUUAAUGAGAACCUGACUCAAAAUAAAAAUUUGAAAGGGGGGAAACCAAGCAAACAGCUCGCCCCCUAGUACAUGGCCUUGAUCCUACCAAUGUGUGGGCUGAGCAUCAAACAUCCCAUCCUCCCCGCUUUCAUUAGCAAAUGGGAGUCAGAGAUCUGAGCAUCUCUUGGGAGGUUGACCAUAUGCAAUAUAGCAAACAAGGAGAAUUUCCUUCUACCAUCUCUUUGAAGGCAAAUAUUUUUAUCGCUGUUUUGCUUUGUUCUGAUUAGUAGUAUUGCUCUGUUCAAUAUUGUUUCAAUGAAUUCUAUAAUGUUCUUGUUGUAGUCAGCAGUUGUACACAGAGAACCACUAGGAUUAGCACAUGGAGUUUAUAAUAUUUUUAUAAUGGUCACCGGAAGUUAACACAGGAAAAUGCAGUAAAUCUAUCCGCAACACCAAAGACAUAGAUUAUUUAGUCAAGAGCCUAAACCUCACAGCACAUGUCUCACAUGAGUCCAGAUAAAAAUCCAGAGCUCGGGACAAUGCCUCCACGAGUCCAACUAGAGGUCCAGAUCCCACGAGAAGGACUCACCCCAGUCUGUUUUACGGAUCCAUGCCAAGAAGACCCAAGGGUCAGCGAUGGAAGCAAGAAAGUCUAUGCCAGCAGGACGAAGGAGCUGUGCUAGUGGGAUGAGGGUUCUACACUGGUGCUGAGAAGUCACACUCACAACAAAGACCAGGGCUAUCCUGAAAGGCACCACAGCUGUCCUCAGCAACACGGCGGCCCCGAGCUCCUCCGGCGACAAGCACAAUGAGGUACGUGCCAGGAAUCAGCAUGAUGAGUUCAUCCUGGAGACCAAGAAGCACAUGUCUUCCCCUCCGGAGCAAGGAAGCAAUGCUCAAUGUGAGGACCGAAGCUUCUCCAGGAGAACCAACAGCUCAAACGGCAACUUGUAGGAAAACCCACAAUGUCUCCUUAACACCUCAACACUCAACACUCAACACCUCCCUUCUUUUCCUCUAUUUAUCCUGGCAACUUCCCUCAGGUGGAGCAUCUUGACUCAAUGCCAUGCUGAUGUAAUCCAGCUGGCAUUAAGUUGACCACCAGUUCUUAAUCCAUGACAGUUCUGUGUUUCAUUUAUUGUUGCUAUACCUGAUGGGAAGAGCAACUAUUGUGAAGAUAACAUGAUAUACUAUGGAACCUUUUACUCUUAUGCCAGUAACCUGCUGUGAGGUUCUGUACCAUUUUCACUACACAGUCUAAAUUGGCUUUGUUCCAUCUUGUUCUGUUGUAUUUUACCACAUUCAAAAUAAUAAAAAUUUUUUAAACAUAAACUUACUUAAAAAUAAAAAUUUUUUAAAUGAUAAAAAUAAAAUUUAAAAGCGCUGGGGAUGUAGCUCAG